rnacentral:rRNA from 1 species
GACGAACGCUGGCGGCGUGCCUAAUACAUGCAAGUCGAACGGACCUUGCUUGGACGGAGUGGAGUACUUGUACAAAGCGAAGACUAAGCGCUGGUUAGUGGCGAACGGGUGAGUAACACGUAGGUAACCUACCGAUAAGACGAGGACAACUCAUGGAAACGUGAGCUAAUACUGGAUAUGGUAUAGGGAAGGCAUCUUUCUUAUAUUAAAGGAGCUUCUGGCUUCACUUAUUGAUGGACCUGCGGCGUAUUAGCUAGUUGGUGGGAUAGCAGCCUACCAAGGCGAUGAUACGUAGCCGAUCUGAGAGGAUAAACGGCCACACUGGGACUGAGAUACGGCCCAGACUCCUACGGGAGGCAGCAGUAGGGAAUUUUCCACAAUGGACGAAAGUCUGAUGGAGCAACGCCGCGUGUGUGAAGAAGGUUUUCGGAUUGUAAAGCACUGUUGUAUGGGAAGAAUAAGGUGAGAAGGAAAUGGCUCAUUGAUGACG